rnacentral:lncRNA from 1 species
UUGAAGAUUAAGGAAUGAGAUUGAUAUUCCGAUCGAUAGAGAACGGAGAGUUCUCUUAAAUCCACAUGAGAUAGACGAAAUUAAGAGCUUGGUAUUGGUGUUGCAUGCAAUUCAGGAGAGCUAGGAGCGAGGAGUUGGUGCAGGAUCACUCAUUCCAGGAGGGCAUUGAGAAAAAUACUAUUAGGAGGUCAAAAAAACUAUUGUGGGUUGAAUAUGACGGAUUGUAAGUAAUAUUUUCAUUUAUAGUGAAUUCCUACUAGCUUGGGC